UUCUUCGGGGCAGGGUGUAAUUCCCGAUCGGCGGUAGAGUCCGCGAGCAUUAGCAGAACCGGUGUGAUUCCGGUACCGACAGUAUAGUCUGGAUGGAAGAAGAG
rnacentral:ncRNA from 1 species